UUUUUUUAGUAUUUUGAGGCUACAGCAGCUCUCAUGGAAAAGGAUAGGACCAUUAUGGCUGUUUCGUCAUGGAAUGACAAUGGGCAAAAGCAAUUCGUGCAUGAUCCAGAAAUCCUUUACCGAUCUGAUUUCUUUCCUGGACUGGGAUGGAUGUCGACCAGAACUACGUGGAAAGAACUAUCCCCGAAGUGGACAUAGGCAUA